UACAGAGGUCUCAAGCGUUGUUCGGAUUCAUUGGGCGUAAAGGGUGCGUAGGUGGCGCUGUAAGUCAGGUGUGAAAUUUCGGAGCUUAACUCCGAAACUGCAUUUGAUACUGCGGUGCUUGAGGGCUGGAGAGGAGACUGGAAUUCACGGUGUAGCAGUGAAAUGCGUAGAGAUCGUGAGGAAGACCAGUGGCGAAGGCGGGUCUCUGGACAGUUCCUGACACUGAGGCACGAAGGCCAGGGGAGCAAACGGG
rnacentral:rRNA from 1 species